GCCGGUGUAGCUUAAUUGGUAGAGCAACUGACUUGUAAUCAGUAGGUUGGGGGUUCAAGUCCUCUUGCCGGCACCA
rnacentral:tRNA from 1 species